GAAGGUGUCACCUACAGAGGAUAAAGCUACAGAAGAGAAAGGAGUACCAGAUUUUUGGCUCACUGUAAUAAAAACCAACGAAGUGGUUGGUGAGGAGAUUUUUGAGCGCGAUGAAGGGGCUCUCAAGUAUCUCAAAGAUAUCAAGUGGUUCAGAAUUAAUGAUCCCAAGGGCUUCAAGCUCGAAUUCUUCUUUGAUCCUAACCCAUGAUUGACGAUGAUGAACCUAUUCUUGAGAAGGCCAUAGGGACGGAGAUUAAAUGGUAUCUUGAAAAGAGCCUGACACAGAAGGUUCUGAAAAAGAAGCCAAAGAAGGGAUCAAAGAAUGCCAAGCCCAUCACAAAAACUGAACAAUGGAAUAGUUUCUUAAAUUUCUUCAAUCCACCACAAGUCCCGGAUGAUGAUGAUGAUAUUGAUGAAGA